AUUAUUCAGCUCCCCACACUGUUCAAUCUUCAUUCCCUUAAUUCAUCAUUCCUCUCAUUCAGUUGAUUAAUAACUAUUCUUUUGAAUAAAUACCCGACCUUUGGUUCUAAGUGCUACUCCAUACCACAGUCAUUACUUCCACACUAUACUCUGUGUUAUUUUUCCCCAGAGUUUGAAGCACCAACCCCCCUCCCAGAGACAAAAGAGAAUGUGGUGUGUGCCCUGGGCCUGGUUGUGGGUCUAGUUGGCAUCAUUGUUGGGACCAUCUUCAUCAUCAAGGGAAUGCGCAAGGUCAAUGCUGGUGAACGCCGAGGACCUCUGUGAGGCACCUGCAGGCAAUGCAGUUUCCUAGAGAGAAGAUCAAUGAAGAAAUUUGUGCUUCAGUAACUUUAUAAACCUGGCAAUAUUUCAACCAUUCAUCUCGCUGAAGACAAAAAUUCUUCCACAUUUUCCAGACCUUUAGCUGUUUUAAUAAUAAUGAUGCCUUCCUGCUCUGUCCACAUUCUGAUUUCUAGUUAUUCCCUGUUUUUUGCCCCUUCCUGGGUCUGUUUUCUUCCAUUUCCUACCAUCAUUUAAUAUCACCAUGUAAUGCUCUAGAAUAGACCCCAUAGUAUCGUGUCUCGGCUGUGGAAUCUUAUGAAUGUUCAAUACAGACAUCCCUUCUAUACUUAUUGCUUGGGUUUCUUCAAAAUGUGAUUGUGAUUUUUUUUUAACACAAUAAACUAUUUGAUGGGUCUGAAAUGAA